rnacentral:rRNA from 1 species
UAACGCGAAGAACCUUACCAAAUCUUGACAUCCUUUGACCGCUCUAGAGAUAGAGUCUUCCCCUUCGGGGGACAAAGUGACAGGUGGUGCAUGGUUGUCGUCAGCUCGUGUCGUGAGAUGUUGGGUUAAGUCCCGCAACGAGCGCAACCCUUAAGCUUAGUUGCCAUCAUUAAGUUGGGCACUCUAGGUUGACUGCCGGUGACAAACCGGAGGAAGGUGGGGAUGACGUCAAAUCAUCAUGCCCCUUAUGAUUUGGGCUACACACGUGCUACAAUGGAUAAUACAAAGGGCAGCGAAUCCGCGAGGCCAAGCAAAUCCCAUAAAAUUAUUCUCAGUUCGGAUUGUAGUCUGCAACUCGACUACAUGAAGCUGGAAUCGCUAGUAAUCGUAGAUCAGCAUGCUACGGUGAAUACGUUCCCGGGUCUUGUACACACCGA